rnacentral:rRNA from 1 species
GUAAUACAUGCAAGUCGAACGAACUCUGGUAUUGAUUGGUGCUUGCAUCAUGAUUUACAUUUGAGUGAGUGGCGAACUGGUGAGUAACACGUGGGAAACCUGCCCAGAAGCGGGGGAUAACACCUGGAAACAGAUGCUAAUACCGCAUAACAACUUGGACCGCAUGGUCCGAGUUUGAAAGAUGGCUUCGGCUAUCACUUUUGGAUGGUCCCGCGGCGUAUUAGCUAGAUGGUGGGGUAACGGCUCACCAUGGCAAUGAUACGUAGCCGACCUGAGAGGGUAAUCGGCCACAUUGGGACUGAGACACGGCCCAAACUCCUACGGGAGGCAGCAGUAGGGAAUCUUCCACAAUGGACGAAAGUCUGAUGGAGCAACGCCGCGUGAGUGAAGAAGGGUUUCGGCUCGUAAAACUCUGUUGUUAAAGAAGAACAUAUCUGAGAGUAACUGUUCAGGUAUUGACGGUAUUUAACCAGAAAGCCACGGCUAACUACGUGCCAGCAGCCGCGGUAAUACGUAGGUGGCAAGCGUUGUCCGGAUUUAUUGGGCGUAAAGCGAGCGCAGGCGGUUUUUUAAGUCUGAUGUGAAAGCCUUCGGCUCAACCGAAGAAGUGCAUCGGAAACUGGGAAACUUGAGUGCAGAAGAGGACAGUGGAACUCCAUGUGUAGCGGUGAAAUGCGUAGAUAUAUGGAAGAACACCAGUGGCGAAGGCGGCUGUCUGGUCUGUAACUGACGCUGAGGCUCGAAAGUAUGGGUAGCAAACAGGAUUAGAUACCCUGGUAGUCCAUACCGUAAACGAUGAAUGCUAAGUGUUGGAGGGUUUCCGCCCUUCAGUGCUGCAGCUAACGCAUAAGCAUCCGCCUGGGGAGUACGGCCGCAAGGCUGAAACUCAAAGGAAUUGACGGGGGCCCGCACAAGCGGUGGAGCAUGUGGUUUAAUUCGAAGCUACGCGAAGAACCUUACCAGGUCUUGACAUACUAUGCAAAUCUAAGAGAUUAGACGUUCCCUUCGGGGACAUGGAUACAGGUGGUGCAUGGUUGUCGUCAGCUCGUGUCGUGAGAUGUUGGGUUAAGUCCCGCAACGAGCGCAACCCUUAUUAUCAGUUGCCAGCAUUAAGUUGGGCACUCUGGUGAGACUGCCGGUGACAAACCGGAGGAAGGUGGGGAUGACGUCAAAUCAUCAUGCCCCUUAUGACCUGGGCUACACACGUGCUACAAUGGAUGGUACAACGAGUUGCGAACUCGCGAGAGUAAGCUAAUCUCUUAAAGCCAUUCUCAGUUCGGAUUGUAGGCUGCAACUCGCCUACAUGAAGUCGGAAUCGCUAGUAAUCGCGGAUCAGCAUGCCGCGGUGAAUACGUUCCCGGGCCUUGUACACACCGCCCGUCACACCAUGAGAGUUUGUAACACCCAAAGUCGGUGGGGUAACCUUUUAGGAACCAGCCGCCUAAGGUGGGACAGAUGAUUAGGGUGAAGUCGUAACA